UACGUAGGGUGCAAGCGUUAAUCGGAAUUACUGGGCGUAAAGCGUGCGCAGGCGGUUCGCUAAGACAGAUGUGAAAUCCCCGGGCUUAACCUGGGAACUGCAUUUGUGACUGGCGGGCUAGAGUAUGGCAGAGGGGGGUAGGAAUUCCACGUGUAGCAGUGAAAUGCGUAGAGAUGUGGAGGAAUACCGAUGGCGAAGGCAGCCCCCCUGGGCCAAUACUGACGCUCAUGCACGAAAGCGUGGGGAGCAAACAGG
rnacentral:rRNA from 1 species